AGCCAAUCUUCUUCUGAAAACAAUCUUUGUCCAAUCUGCAUCACUGAAACAAAGAACAUGGCAUUCGGUUGCGGACACCAGACAUGCUGCGAAUGCGGUCAAGGCCUCUCGUUGUGCCCGAUUUGUCGGGUG